rnacentral:lncRNA from 1 species
CUGCUCCCCUCUCACCUUCUACUCUCUGGUGGAAGCAUCAAAAUUUGCCAAGCUUUGGGUCCCAUUUUGUAAGAAGUACAAAAUUCAAGUUAGGGCUCCCUUUAGAUACUUCUUGGACGAUCCUAUAUCCUUCACCUCCAGUGCAAAUUCUGAGUUCAGACAAGAUUGGAAAAAGAUGAAGGUAAUUCCAACGUCUUUCUACGGUGUUGAGGUUGUGGGUAGAAUCAUGAGAGUGAAAGAAAAAAAAAAUAAGAAAGCGAAGAGCAAAAUUAAUUAGUAUCUUGUUUUGUACCAUCCAUUCAGGCACCGAUCGGCAUUUAAAUGUGUUUUAUAUUUCCUUGUAGGCUGAGUAUGAGCACCUUAGCCUAAAAAUAGAGGAAGCAGGCAGAAAAUCAGGGCCAUGGGAUCUAACAGGCGAGUUU